rnacentral:lncRNA from 1 species
UGCUCCUGAGCCCUCCUUGAGGUGCACUGCAAAGAAGCCAUCAUUUUGGGAACUCAUGGACACUUUGGUAACAUCUCCCAGUGGAACCUCCGACUUGAUAUUCCCUGACUUUUGAUCCGCAAGGAGAACAUUGUUUUUGGUUAAUAAGAAAAUCCUGGAUGUAGCCUUCCCAUUAGCUCUAUUGAUCUUAUUCACAACUUCAGCAAUAAUGAUCUUCUCAUCCACAGCAUCCUUCAGUUUUUUGUACUUGGGGUUCUUGCUGAUCUCCAGGUAAGCCCCUUGGAAUGGCUGCCCAACACUGGCUGGAUAUAAAGCCUUCUUGUCCUUGAAAAGCUCACUUGCUUCCAGUUUUUCUUCAUAUAUAAGCUUCUGCUGAUCUGUGAACUGGUCUCUGUACUUUUUACACCUCCACAAAUGGAAAAUCCUCUUCAGUUCCUUGUGAGUUGAAUCCAAGAAAAGGUAAGGUCUCGCUGGCCAGUUUUUAUCUAUUGGUGAUAAAGAUGGCAUCUUAUUCUUCAUUUCCAAGAAGUAUUUCUGCAUAAGUCUCUGAAGGGUAAAUUCAUAGAUUUUUCUUCCAGCAUUGGCUCUGAAGAAUUUCCUGUACUCUCUACGGACCUUAUAUCCAAGCCAGUAAGCCCAAAUAACAGCAAUAGCCUGUUU